GAUGACUUUUUGUUUUUGAAGUUAGAUAUAACCUAUGGAAUCCAAUGAUAAUUAGUUCUUUUAGUUGUUGGUAAAGGAAGUCAUAGAACCUUAUAGCACUUGUGUUGUUUCUAAAGGUAGAUAAACCUAUCGAUCUAAUGAUAAUUAAUUCUUUUUAGUUGUUGGUAAGUAAAGUCAUAGAAACUUAUAGCACAUGAGUUUUGUCUUUAAAGGUAGAUAAACCUGUAGAAUCUAAUCUUCUUUUAGUUGCUGGUGAAUAAACUAAUAGAAACUUAUAGCACAUGAGUUUUGCUCUCAAAGGAAGAUAAACCUGUAGAAUCUAAUCUUCUUUUAGUUGCUGGUGAAUAAACUAAUAGAAACUUAUAGCACAUGAGUUUUGCUCUCAAAGAAAGAUAAACCUAUGGAAUCUAAUGAUAAUUAGUUCUUUUUGUUGUUGGUAAAUAAACUAAUAGAAACUUAUAGCACAUGAGUUUUGUUUUUAAUAUAUAAACCUAUAGAAUCUAAUGAUAAUUAGUUCCUUUUAGUUGUUGGUAAAUGAAGUAGAAACUUAUAGCACGAGUUUCGGUUUUAAAGGUAGAUAAACCUAUAGAAUCUAACGAAUGAUAAUUAGUUCUUUUCAGUUGUUGGUAAGUGAAGUCAUAGAAACUUAUAGCACUGGAGUUUUGUUUUUAAAGGUAGACAAACCUAUAGAAUCUAAUGAAUGAUCAUUAGUUUGUUUCAGUAGUUUGGUAAAUAAAUCAUAGAAAUUUAUAGCACCUGUGUUUUGUUUUUAAAGGUAGAUAAACCUAUAGAAUCUAAUGACAAUUAGUUUGUUUUAGAUGUUGGUAAAUGAAGUCAUAGAAUCUUAUAGCGCAUGAGUUUUGUUUUCAAAGGUAGAUAAAACUUUUAGUUGUUGGUAAAUAAAGUCAUAGAACCUUAUAGCACAUAAGUUUUGUUUUAAAAGGUAUAUAAACCUGUAGAAUCUAUUGAUUUCCAGGCCAUUCAUGAUUGAAGUUAUCUUCUUGUUUGCGACUCGGUUAUAUGGGAAAGUUCAAUAUCUUAAGACUCCUAAGUAGGACAUGCGUCUCAAAAUUUUAUCAAAUUGGAUCUGUUUGGGCUAGUAGAUCUCUCUUUCUCUCUCUAUCUAUCUAUCUCUAAGGCCACUUUUUUUUAUGUGCGAGAAGAAUUAGGAUUUCUGAUUCUAGGUGAGUUGGAAUCUUGAAGACCAGAUUGGAUACCUCUUAUGACAUCAGUUCUUGUUUCCAGUAUUUAGCCAUCUGGUAAGGCAGAACCUGUAUUAGCCACGGUUUACUGUCGAUGCUACUGCACAUACUUUGUCCUUUAUAUGCUUAACUCUACCGCAUUUUAGGAAACCGUGUUUGAGCAUACUGGCAAUACUCGUUUUAUGUUUGAUGUAGUGCAAAAUAAAAUAGAAAACAACCCUCUUUUUAGAUGAAUCUCCUUUAUAAUGAUCAUAAUUCUCCAUAAUAUGAUAUAUGAUAAUAUCUCAUAUUUCUUGAUACACGGUACCAAUAUUCUGCAUCUGCAGGAACCGGAAAUUGACAAGGGGUUGGGUUUGACACGUAGAUAAUCCGACGUCCCGUCCCGUCCAUCACUGAUUUGAUGACUCGAGUCUAACUAGGCAGCUAACCUCUGGUGAAGCGUGCUUUAUAAACACGUCCCUUCGGUUCGCCGAGAAGCCAUCCCACCUCUCGUAGAGUAAGUCAUGUCUUAAAAGUGCGUUACGAAUCUCCUCCGUUGGCGACCGCACCGAGGGGCAAAAGGCCUCGUCGUCUCCCAGUCCGGGGGCAGUCUCGUCAAUUCGUAAUAACAGUCACCGACGCGUUUCGGCACUUCAUUGGCCAAGUCUAUCAGGGACGGUCCUCGGUACCGGACACGUGAUCACCUCCGGGUUUGAGCAGGACUCCCGAUUGCGUUAUCCACGUUGACCCACUUCUCUCGCCUAAUUGUAGGUUCCGGGGCCCAUCAGAAUCAUCGAGUAAAUCGCACCAGCCCGUGUGAGUUAAGUACAUGGCUGAUUAGAUGAUUGACCAAUGUACUUAGCUGUUUUGGGUAGUAGAGAAGAACAUGAGUGAGAGACACGUACGGUAAUCACCCAUAGAAUGUGUUUUAUCCUUCUUUAAUUAAUCCCUUAAAAAGAGAACACUUACCCACAAAUGUCGUCAUUUAUUACCAAUUGCUUUCUGUUAUAAAUAUAAUACGUUUAUUUAAGGUGGACCCACGUUAGAGGCGUCGUCCCACAGCUUUGUCCAAUAACAAGGCAGCAGGCGUUAGGAUAAGUCCUUGUACGGUUUUAAAUAAAGAAUAAAAAAAAAAGAAAAGAAAUGGAGGGGUUUGUUCUUACCGUCGCCGCUUCUUUGGUCGAACGGGUGGUGACGAGCAGAGUGGGACGCAUACGGAGUUAGCCACAUUCCUCUCCCGCUUUUGAGCUGUUGGUGUUCGUCGCCUCCAGAAGCUUCUCGGCACUCUCGAUCGUUCCGACCCACUUGUUUAUCCUUCGUCUUCCUCACUCCCGAUCGUUAGGCUCCGUUCAUGCUUCCUUCGUCGUCUCCAUCGAUCUUGAUCCAGAUGGUUUCUUCCGUUCCUUCUCUCUCUCUCUCUCUCUCUCUCUCUCUCUCUCUCUCUCUCUCGUCUUUGGAUUUCGUUCGCCUCGUUCCGAUCGGGGAAGAUUGCUCAUGCUAAAGAAGAGAAAGAGAUCAAACUGUUUCGUUCUUGAUUCUUGUUAGUGUUUUCUUGAUCUCCUUUUCUUGGGCAUGUGUGGAUUUUGGGUUGCGAGCUCGAGUCUUCUCCUGAUAUGCAUCUUGUUGUGUCUCGUUGAUAGUGGAUUCCCUGAUUCUUUUUGUUUUCUGUUCCCUUUCCGAUUCUUAGUUCCUCGUUUUUGUUGUUGCGUUCUUGAUCUGUCGACAAUUCUUCUUCCUGAUACCUCUCCUUUUUCUUCCUUAUUUCGAAUCCUAUCGCUGCCACGAACCCAAAAAAAAUCGUGCUGUCAUUGUUUCUUGCUUCUAUUGUUCUUGGGAUUUUGUGGAUUUUGGGUUGCUCGAUAGAGUCUUCCUUGUGUUGAUGAUUCGUUUGGGUCUUGUUUUCGCUGGUGAUGAUCUAUCUCUGAUCCUUUUUCUCUUUUUCUUAUUUCGAAUUUCUAUGCUUUGUUGUUUUUGGUUCUCGAAGAAGCGUGAUGUUUGGUUGUACGAGGGUUUGCAAGAUUCGAACUAUUUGAAGCGGAUGGAUCUUUGUCGAGGUGGGGUGGUUUGCGACUUCUCUUUCUUUCUUCUUCCUUGUGUUAUGAUUUAUGAUCAUCAGACCAAUCAAAUGUAAGGUACAUAUUUGUGGAUUUGUCUGGUGAUCGUAAUGUUGAUAUGGGCUUGGCAGAUAAUGGGGUCGGUUUGUUUGCAUGAGCGUGGUUUGGUUGACAAUGAGAGAGAGCACGCGGGUCCAUGACCCUUGCCAGCUUCCAUGGUUGUGUACUAGCGUGCUCCUUCUGGUUGUCAACCCAAGAUCACCAUUCUAAGUUUCUCCUCCUCCUUGCCCGUGGAGUUCUUGACCCGAUACGUAUAUAUAUUUAUGGUUGCUUCAUCCUUUACAUAUUCUUAAAUCGAUUCUCUGCUCUUUCUUUUGGUCUAUUUAGUUGUGUUUAAUCACUUAAUCAUACUGUGUUGAGCUAAGGAAUUUUAAGUUGGGGUAAACAUUGAAAUCUAUUCGACGACCUAUUUCAUUGUUGAUGCAUGAUGAGUCUUGAGUUACUUUGUAAGGAUUGAUUGGAACAACAGGGAUCAUUUUGGCCACAAUAUAUUUACAUGCUAGUAAUUUUGUAUUUGUAUGUCUUCCACUUUCAGGCAUAAUCUCAUCAACGAUGGUAUGCUGCUUAUUAAUGUGUUCUUCCUUUCUUCUUGUUGGUUUAUUAUUUCUAUCAUGGGUACUCAAACGACUCAGAAAUUACAUACUCUAUUGAUUGGAACAACAGAGAUCAUUUUGGCCACAAUGACAUGCUAGUAAUUUUGUAUUUGUAUUUGUCUUCCACUAUCAGGCAUGGUAUGCUACUUAUUGAUGUGUUCUUCCCUUCUUCUUGUUGGUUUAUUAUUUCUAUCAUGGGUAUUGAAACAACUGAGAAAUUACAUACUCUAUUGAUCGGAACAACAGGGACUAUUUUGGCCACAGGAUAUAUAUUGCUUUACAUACUAGCAAUUUUGUACUUGUAUUUGUCUUCCACUUUCAGGUUUAAUCUAAACAAUGAUGGUAUGCUAUGUAUUCUUCGUUUCUACCUGUUGAUUUAUUAAUUCUUUCAUUUGUCAUGGGUGCUCAAAGAAUCGAGAAUGAUAUCCUCUACUGUCUCAUAAAAAAUGCCUAGCUUCGGUUGAGGAUUAUUUGUCAUUUUGGCUCGAUGCGUUUUUGCUGUAUAUUAAUUAGAUAAGAUCUAGAUAUAGCCCAUUCUUCCUCUAGAAUAGAUGCCUUAGGCAGUUGGAGUGUAGUGGCCAAACAAACACUCCAUCUCAUAAUACCAUUAAGAUGAUUUAUUUUAAAUGAUUCAAGACCAGCAAUGGAAAAGCAAAAGAAGUUGAUACUUUUUCUAUCUGUAUUAUUAAACAGUUGUCUUGUAUGAGCAUAUAAAAGAAAAAGAUGAAUGACAAGGAAAGCAAGAUAAUGCCCUUGUAGAGGAAGUAAGGCUAACAAGGCAACAUUGUUGCUGAGCUUGGGUAUCCAUGCUCGAUAUUACAGCCAGUGUUGUCCCGCAGAUGCUAUACCUAAUGUUGAAGUAAUAUGAAUUUGGUAUUUGAUUUCUGUACAUCCUUUCUAGGUCUUGUCGGUUAUAAAAUUGAGAACAUGAAUAGUGAAGAUACGGCUGAUGUUUUAUCUCUUCUUUCAAGUAUUCAAAUGAAGAUACUUAUUCUGUACUUUUACAUGUUGCUGUAGGUUUGCUUUCUCAGAGUUACUAUUCAAAUAACCCAUAUGCUGAUCAUACAACAAACUGUUAGUUCUACAUAAACUGGGGGGUAAUAGCUUUGUUUGGCAUUUAGACAGCUAACUGUUGGCAUCAAGAACUUUGGUGGGCAUACACAUUAAAUUUUUGAACGGGAAAUCUGAGGUUGAUUAGAGUCAGUUGAGUGAAGUCAGCAACUGCAAUUUUAAGACUUUCGAGGAGUCACUAUGAGUAUAUAACGGGAUAUAUGGCAUUUGAUGUUAAAACAUAAAAAAGAAGCCCAUGACUCAUGCUGGUCAUUGAAGUUAUGUGUCGAUGCUUUUCUGUAUGUGCAUUAAACUUGGUGACUAGAUAUGUUGUUUUGGAAAAUAUAUGUUGUUUUCUUGGGAGGAACUUGCAGGAUGAUCAUUGAUAGAUAGGGCCUGCACCAGAAAUUUUGUGUUUCGGAGAGAUGAAUGAUAAUUUAUAUCUUUAAGACAAGGAUUUGAUCGUUUGUUACAACAACCUUUGAUUUAUAAGGAAGGUGCAGAAGGCAGAGUUGGAAUUCUGCUUUACUGUUCAUGUAAGGUUACUAAUGUUACAACAUUAGGAACUCCAGUUCUGUGGCACAGGAAGGUGAGUUCGAUGGAUGAUUCAUUCAUUUAGCAAACUGCUCGUUGAUUCCAUGGCGUUUGUUGAGAUCAGGAAUUAGUUGCUUUGGCAACCUUUGUUUGAGAGACUGCUUUGGCAACAGUCUGAUUUCUCCCAAGUUUUGGAUAUAUUAAGAGAUAUACGCUACAUUAUUGCAAGUUUUCUUUAUAUUUGUGAUAUGAUUUCACUUGUAUAUGAGAGUGAUCACCGUUCGCAUUUCA